AGAGAUCAAGCAUCCAUGAUAUCACCACUGUCAAUCCUCCUACAGACUCCAAGCAGCAGGUGCAUUCUUCCCCAGAUCACUCAACAACCACCAUGGAUACGAAACUCGACACGAAUGUGAUGAUGGGUGGAGCAAAUGUAUGCGGUAUGAUGUCGUCAAGCUCGCCUUAUGGACUGCAGCUGCAGGAACAGAAGAGCCUGAUUCUGAUGGGAGGACCAUCCAGCUAUGGUUUGGUCUAUCAGCCGAUGCAAUCAAUGCAGAACCAGUAGAGACUAGAGAUG
rnacentral:lncRNA from 1 species